ensembl:lncRNA
CUUAAAAAUGAUUCUACAUUUUUGGUCGUCUGAUUAUCUCAUUAGAGACGUACAACUACAAUGUUAGGUUUUUCCAGAAACACAAUGGAUUAUUUGGACGUGUAUGUUCUAAGUCACUUUGGUCUUUCAGCCAGUAAAGCGGGAAGCUUGUUUAAAUUCCACAAUCUUUUGCGUGCUGUGAUAACUCCUAAACACCAUUUGCCACAACCGAUAUUUUGCAAGUGAAUUUGAUUUUACCACCUUAUAGCAAUGAUUUGAAAGUUAGCCUAUUAGCUGUACACCUACAUUUUUAUGUCCUCUGACAGCAGGAGUCGUUAUGGGUGUGAAUCAGGGUUACAGUAUUGGGUUUUUGCUGCAGAUAUGAACAACAUUUAUCAAAGAUGUGAAAUGAUAAAAGCACCAUAUGCCUGCCCCAAUAGUAUCAUCAAUCCCUGUGUAUGGGGGGCAGUUUUAUGGAUGUACAGAUGGCAGUAUAUUGUGUUUUGUGUAGCCCAUAUAAAUAAGAAUUCAACUAGUACAACCUAUUAAAACACUGAGCUAAUAUGGCCUUUUGGUGUUUUAAAGACAUCUUUGUUUCAGAGUUAGUCUCUAGGAGGCUGGCAUGCUUCUUGUUAAAUAUCCUUUGUGGCCUUGUCUCUGGGCUCGUGUUUCAUUUAAACAGCUUGCCCGGUAGUAUUGUAGACUUCAUUGUGAGCCCUCACAGCACGCAAUAGUGUAAUACUUUAUGCAUUAAAGUCUAAAUUACAUAUUACAGUCAUUUGGGACAUAUUAUCUGAGGGUUCAGCUUGUCGUAAUGGAUGUCAGUUGCAGUUAUUCAUUAAACUGCAUGUUUGGCGAGGAGUCUUAAACACACACACAGACACAGAUGCUCCCUGCUGAGUGACAAAACUGUAAUUCCUAGGCAGUCAGGCUUGACCAAAAAUCUACAUUCUACAAAAAAAAUUAAUCGAUUUGAGCAAUCAGAUAUUGGAAGUUGACUUGAGGGCUGUCAUGCAGAAAGAAUCAGAACUGUAACUCAUCUAAGCCACCAUUGGAGUUAACGCAUCUAAUUGAGUUGUAAUUGCCUCACUUGCCGUUACCAGUAAAUGUAAAUCAUGUGUAAAUAUUUAAUGUAAAACCAUGCCUGGCUACCAGAAGUCAUUGCUGUAGUCUAAUUCCACGCCCACAAAUCCUCUUCUCCUCAGUGAGUCUUGAUUUGACUCCCUCUAUGACAUUUGGAUUGGGUCCAUGAACAGAGGGGUUGGGCUAGGGCCAGAACACACUAGGGUUAAGUGAUAUUUUCCAAAUGAAUAAUUGAAUGAAUAAUGAUUGGUUAGAGAUGACCCAAAUACUUUUUGUAAAACCCACCAUUUUGACACAAAGAACUUCAAUGAAAUCAGUCUCAGCAAUGAGUAAUGCAUAUUGCCAACCAUAGAGCAGAGGAAUAAUUCCAUUGGCGGAAUCAGGCAGGAAGAAAACAGCGAAGUGCAUAACUUCUCCUGCACAGUCUUUUGAAAUAUGUAUACUGUAGCUAAAUUACGAUAAUUAAUUGGUUAUCGUUAUCCUCAUUAACGACAUGUGCUCCCACAGUGGAGCAGUGAAUACCUAUUGAAACCUAAUGAAAAUCCAAUUAAAUAAAUACCAUAGAACAUCCCAUUGGUACUCACAUCAGUCUUUAGUCUUCAAAUGGGAAGAUCAUAGCAGAUGUAUACACCUGGCCUAAGCGUAAAGCGCAAUAAAACACAUUUUAGAUCAUCUAUUACACCAUUUUUCUCUCUUUCUGAAAAACUUGGCUACUUCAAAAAUCAACAUAGACAACCUAAUUGGGAACGAUAAGCCAUCAGACACACAAAGACCCCAAGUUUGGCUGCUUAUGCCUUCUGUGUUUGAUUUUGGCGGCACAGUCAUCAUGGCAGAAGGAUACAAGUCCCAUUGUCGGCUGUAGGGCUAUUUAUUCUAUUGUCUCCCAAUUGAAAUCCAUAGCAGGACCUCCUUGCAUGAUGCAUCUGUCAAGGGGAAUGGCAAAGAAAAACUCAAUGAUCACGAUCACCGGAGACAAGACAAACAAUAGCAAUGUGUCUAAACUUUUAAUUAAACAGUGAACAGCCCAGUAUAUACAAGUAGCUAUGCAGGAAGCAAAGUCCCACACACAAAAUGUCUUCUCGAACACUUAUUUUCGCAAGUGUUCCUCAGCUAUCCAUUUGUGGCUAAAAUUGCCCUAAGUGUGAUUCUUGGUGAGAAUAAUCCUUUCACAGCAGUAUUUUUAUAUUCAGUGUGCUUUCAGGCAAACCUAGCGGCACUUCCUUCUGGUUUUAAACGAUGCUUAGUCCCCCACUCAAUCUAAUAUCUAAUGUGGCAGCAAGUUAAAAAGGAAAUGCAUACUGAAUGUCAGGCUUUAUCGCUAGCCUUAAUGGCCCGGCCCUCUUUAUAUCAUUUUUGAAACCGCCUUCCAUAGGUUUCUCUCCAAAUGAGCUCUGUUAAUUUCAUAGCCCUGCAGUAAUGGCUAUAGCUUUGUCUGCAUAGCAAUAGGCACAUAACCACCUGUGCUUUUCCUUUCCCGUCCUAAGGAAUAAAACCAACC